rnacentral:rRNA from 1 species
UCGGCCGGGUAAUAAACCGGAGGAAGUGGGGAUGACGUCAAAUCAUCAUGCCCCUUAUGACCUGGGCUACACACGUGCUACAAUGGUUGGUACAACGAGUUGCGAGUCGGUGACGGCGAGCUAAUCUCUUAAAGCCAAUCUCAGUUCGGAUUGUAGGCUGCAACUCGCCUACAUGAAGUCGGAAUCGCUAGUAAUCGCGGAUCAGCACGCCGCGGUGAAUACGUUCCCGGGCCUU